AGAGUUUGAUCCUGGCUCAGGACGAACGCUGGCGGCGUGCCUAACACAUGCAAGUCGAGCGAUGAAACCCUUCGGGGUGGAUUAGCGGCGGACGGGUGAGUAACACGUGGGUAACCUGCCUCAAAGAGGGGAAUAGCCUCCCGAAAGGGAGAUUAAUACCGCAUAAUAUGUUUUGGUCGCAUGAUUAAAACAUCAAAGGAAUUUUCUUCGGAUUAUUCCACUUUGAGAUGGACCCGCGGCGCAUUAGCUAGUUGGUGAGGUAACGGCUCACCAAGGCGACGAUGCGUAGCCGACCUGAGAGGGUGAUCGGCCACAUUGGGACUGAGACACGGUCCAGACUCCUACGGGGGGCAGCAGUGGGGAAUAUUGCGCAAUGGGGGAAACCCUGACGCAGCAACGCCGCGUGAAUGAUGAAGGCCUUCGGGUUGUAAAGUUCUGUCUUCUGGGACGAUAAUGACGGUACCAGAGGAGGAAGCCACGGCUAACUACGUGCCAGCAGCCGCGGUAAUACGUAGGUGGCAAGCGUUGUCCGGAUUUACUGGGCGUAAAGGAUGCGUAGGCGGACAUUUAAGUCAGAUGUGAAAUACCCGAGCUUAACUUGGGUGCUGCAUUUGAAACUGGGUGUCUAGAGUGCAGGAGAGGUAAGUGGAAUUCCUAGUGUAGCGGUGAAAUGCGUAGAGAUUAGGAAGAACACCAGUGGCGAAGGCGACUUACUGGACUGUAACUGACGCUGAGGCAUGAAAGCGUGGGGAGCAAACAGGAUUAGAUACCCUGGUAG
rnacentral:rRNA from 1 species